AGGAUGGCACAGUGGGUAGAAGUAUGUGACAACCCAAAGUCAAUGCUUCCACCUGAAAACUGAAAUUCCGGGUGAUCUGUAGUAGCUACUUUAAAGAAAAAUACUUCAUGAGGAAAAGAUUAACAACAUCAGCAGUUCCAACACUGAACUUACUUGUGUCAGAGGCUACCUCUAUUAAAACAGAGCAAUAAGACACCUGGAUGCAAAUGAAAAGAAGAAAAAGAAGAAAAUUUUAAACCUGACUGCACCAGGGGAGUGGAGAACGUGAUUUUCGAUUGUAUAUUAUUAUUGCUAUAUAUAUAUAU